GAGACCCGCUGAGCAGCGGCACUUCGUUGCUGGCAGCGUCCUCGUAAACAACGCCAGACGCCUAACACCAAGCCGACGCCAGCUAGCCCCUCCGACACAGGUGUGCGGGUGCUGCACAGCAGCAUGUGGGUUGGCGCCGAGUGCGUCGCCCAAGGCGUCCUCAGUGCUGGCGAGGCGUCAACUGAGGCGUCAUCAGGCGAAGAAGACGAUCCAGGUGGCAGUACCAGCGCCAUGGUGGAAACAGCAGCGGAUUGUGAGCGGCUGGACCAGAACCUCUACGGAAAGAAAAGCCCAUAAACAGUACUGCGAGAAUAUAUUGGGUGCCGUUUCGGCCUCUCUGGAAUGCUUACUAAUUAAAAUAUUUGUUCUUGUACGUUACAUGUUUAAAUGCGGACAGUAGAUUUAUGAAAUUUGUUUAGAAACGGGAGAAAUUUGAGCAAUCGUGUCACUGUACUCUGAAGAACGUGUUUUGACAACUGCAUCAAAACGAAUUCUGUCACUAUGAUUUUUGUGUCAGUUAAAUGACAGCACAGUGUGAAUAACACCCUUGUACACCGAUCAUUUGUAUUAUCCACACAUCUCACUAGUGCUCAUUAUAUGCAACACGCAGGAAUCAUACAUCCAUACGUGUAACAAGAAACCUCUUCACCAUAAUUAAUUUAGAACAUACAGAAUUCUGCAAAUGUUAAUUUUUCGUGCCUUAUAUAAGUGUUUGCAUGUUUGACGUACCCUAUUCUCUGUUUAUGUUCAUAUUUUUUUCGCCAGACAACCCACCAUGAAACAGGUAUAUCCAAAAAAUUAGUACGAAACUUGGGGUUCUUUGCCCCAAGUCAGAAAUUUCGAAUUACACCAAGAAAUUCUCGCGUCUGUGCUUAUAUAUUGUAAGAA